rnacentral:tRNA from 1 species
GGGUGUUGGGCAGGUAUGGUUACAUUGCGCAGGUCUGAAAAACCUGAGAACAAAGUUCAAUUCUUUGAACACCCA